ensembl:snRNA U6 U6 spliceosomal RNA
AUGCUCCCUUUGGCAGCACACAGACUAAAAUUGGAGUGAAACAGAGAAGAUUAGCAUGGCUCCUAUAGAAGGAUGAUUCACAAAUUUAUGAAGCAUUCCAUAUAUCU